rnacentral:rRNA from 1 species
GAUGAACGCUGGCGGCGUGCCUAAUACAUGCAAGUCGAGCGAACGGACGAGAAGCUUGCUUCUCUGAUGUUAGCGGCUGACGGGUGGGUAACACGUGGAUAACCUACCUAUAAGACUGGGAUAACUUCGGGAAACCGUAGCUAAUACCGGAUAAUAUUUUGAACCGCAUGGUUCAAAAGUGAAAGGCGGUCUUGCUGUUACUUAUAGAUGGAUCCGCGCUGCAUUAGCUAGUUGGUAAGGUAACGGCUUACCAAGGCAACGAUGCAUAGCCGACCUGAGAGGGUGAUCGGCCACACUGGAACUGAGACACGGUCCAGACUCCUACGGGAGGCAGCAGUAGGGAAUCUUCCGCAAUGGGCGAAAGCCUGACGGAGCAACGCCGCGUGAGUGAUGAAGGUCUUCGGAUCGUAAAACUCUGUUAUUAGGGAAGAACAUAUGUGUAAGUAACUGUGCACAUCCUGACGGUACCUAAUCAGAAAGCCACGGCUAACUACGUG